GUUAAUUGUUAAUUUAGCUAUCCAUCCAAUAUGGUGGAUAUGACGUUCGGCUUCUAACCGAGUGGGUUCGGGUUCGAAUCCCGAGUAAAACU